rnacentral:rRNA from 1 species
AGCAGCCGCGGUAAUUCCAGCUCCAAUAGCGUAUAUUAAAGUUGUUGCAGUUAAAAAGCUCGUAGUUGAAUUUCGGGAUUAAUAUGCUGGUCGUGCCAUUGGUACGUACUAGUAUUAUUGAUUUCUCCCUUCUGAUGAAUCAUGAUGUCAUUAAUUUGAUGUCAUGGGGAAUCAGGACUGUUACUUUGAAAAAAUUAGAGUGUUUAAAGCAGGCUCGCGCUUGAAUACAUUAGCAUGGAAUAAUGAAAUAGGACGUUUGAUUCUAUUUUGUUGGUUUCUAGGAUUGACGUAAUGAUUAAUAGGGAUAGUUGGGGGCAUUAGUAUUCAAUUGUCAGAGGUGAAAUUCUUGGAUUUAUUGAAGACUAACUACUGCGAAAGCAUUUGCCAAGGAUGUUUUCAUUAAUCAAGAACGAAAGUUAGGGGAUCGAAGACGAUCAGAUACCGUCGUAGUCUUAACCAUAAACUAUGCCGACUAGGGAUCGGAUGAUGUUAAUUAUGUA